rnacentral:lncRNA from 1 species
AUCGGCGGUUAGGGCCCUUCUGCAAUGGCGCCGGCCGCUCCUUGAUUCAGCGACCGCGCACGAUAGCCGCCAUGAUCUAGCCCCGCGCUCUGACAUGGCGCCCGAGAAGAACAACUUCGGUGCUAGCGAUGGCGCCAACGCUCGAUUGGAAGUUCUCUCUCUCUGAUUCUCUCUCUGGUUUGCUCGAUUGCGGCGACAUCCGCGAAGACGGCGGCGGUGACAGCGGCUCCCAAUCUGUGGCGUGAUUCAGCUCUCCACCGGAUACUAUGCUCAACCCCUGUUCGCUUGGCUCUCGGUCCCCUGGUGCAGAAGCUCGCCGGAGGUUGGGCGGAUCGGUGACGAUGAUGCUUAACCGAGUUUGUCUCUGGAUCGAACUCACCGCUUUGGUGAGUUCUCUUUCUCUCUUGAUCCGAUUAAGUUUUUAGAAUCUGGUUCUCUCUCCCAUUCUCUCUCUCUGACCUCGCACAUUUUCUCUCGCACCGGAUCUGAUCCACUGGAACGUCUGGUCGAGGACCUCGGAGUUCAAGGCACAGAUUCGCGCGGCCCGCUAAUCUGCAACUCCCCUGCAGCAUCGGUGACAGCGUUGACGGCAGCGACGGCUUCGAUCUUUCGUCGAUUCAUUCAAGCUGAGCUUCAGAUAGUGCGGUAUUCCUUCCGAGGUAAGUUUCUUGACUGUUCCUUACUUACAGAGAUUAUGUCAUGCAUUCUUGAACUUUGCCAAUCUGCGCCGUUUCUUGGCUCACUUCCAGAGAAUAUGUCAUGAGUCAGAUUUUGUGAAAAAUGACCUUUUCAUUGUUCUUCAAAAAUGAAUAGAUGGAUGGCCAUUUGUACUUAUUUUGUCUGUCCCUGGAUUGUAUGAGAUAGCUUGUCUUUAGUUUGCGAGUCUAGCAACCUAUGCUGAUCAGAACAAAAGGGUUUUGACAAUGACCUCUACGAUCCUUCUAAGCCUUGUAAGCCUUGAAAUCUUUCAAGUGCGAUUCAGAGAAUUUCAGAAAACUCGAUCCCAUCUCUUCCUGCAAUAGUUUGGAAAGCAUUUGUUUCUGCGUUGCAUUGGUUUUUAACAUGCUUCAGAUGUAUAAAUAAUAUAGAGGUAGGUUUUUGUGAGUUGGUAGUGUAAAACAAAAUUUGCAUUACAAUUCAAUGUUCUGCCAAGUCAAUUUGUAUUGCCAUUACAAUUCACUGGCUCAUCACUAUAGUCUCAGUUACCUUUAGAUAAUCUGGAUGUUAUUACUUUUGCUUAUUACAGAAUAAUCACAUCUUUGUAAAUGGGUUUAAUGUCCCUUUCAAGACUUUCUAAGGAUUUCUCCCCAAUGCCUCCAGUCAAGUCUUUCUUCAAGACUGACUUGUAAUGCAUGUGUUUUAUCAUCUUGUAUCUGUGUAACAUACUGUGGCGUGAAUGACCUCACCACAUCUUGUGGAGUUUAAGAAAUGUUCCACCGAACAGACUAUAAUAACUGCAAGUUUCAUGUCUUGAUAUGACUACAUUCUUCUGCUUUGCUUGGUUCAUUGAGUAUUUCAAUGUCAAUGUAUACAGUUUUGUAGCUCUGUUCUAUAUGGGUUAGGUUGUUGUGAGCCAUUUUGUCUACCUCCUCAUGUGGUACAAGGAUGUACACUUUGUAAUGUGUUUCUUUUUUUAUGAAGUUCUGGUAAUUUCAAUGUGUAGACAUUGUGAUUGUGUCAACAUGCGGGCAUGUCUGGAUAGAUUUUGCUUCUUUCUUGAUAUUUUGUAAUUGAUGUCGGCUUUUGGAAUGCAUCAAAGUAGUUGGAUACUGCUCACGUAUACAUCUGGUUGUGGAUCAUGCAGUGUAGCUGUGCCGAUAUCCCUACGUUUAAUGCAUCUGUGUACUGAUGUACACAUGCACAAGUGCUUUAACUUUUGGUCAAUCAAAACUUCUUCCUUUGUUCAGCCUUGCUCUUUGGAUGGCAUGUCACUGCAUUUGUGAGGCUAUAUGUUAAUCUGUUCUAGGAUUUUGGAGGUUAAUGAGUCAAUGUGAUUAAUAGAUUGAUUUGGCAAUUAAACGCAGAAAUUAAUGGAAGAAAUCAGCUAGAAAAAUAAUUCUGAUUUCUUAAAGCUUCGAAUCAGUAGGGUGCCUAUUAAAAUUGAGGUUCAUUUGCUGUGAGAAACAAGCCACUAAAUCUAGGAGCUGAAUCUGGGAAUUUUGACUUCAAUUCUUCAAUGAUAGUUUCUGGCAUGAUCUAUGUUUGUUCUCUAAUCAUACAUUGUCUUGAAUAUAUUGAUAUAAUCUACUGAGGUUAAUGAAUUUCUGUAGAUUGAUGGUCAAUGAUCAUGAACUUGAAGUUGAUUGAACUUGAUUUGCCUUGAUAUGUCACUUUCUGUUUUGGCUUAAAUGAGGUGAUAGAUGAGGCUUUCUGGUCUUGAGCCCUUUUAGACAUAGAAAAUAGACUUCUCAAGCUUUGAUUUGAUAUGUUGCAUGCCCUGAACAGACGUCAUUCGGUCAUUGAAAAACACAUACAAAAUCUGUCAAUUCUGCAGUAGUUUUUUUAGGUUGAUUUGCUGUUUUGACCUACUGCAAUUUUCUGUUUUAACUGGAAUGAGCUGAAAGAUGAUGUUAUUAGGACUUAAUGUCUUCUAGAGAUUCGUAAUAGGCUUUUCAAGUGUUCCAUAGACAUAUAAUACGUGCGAUUUGGCCACCAUUUGCCCUGCCUGAUGCUUCUUGCAAAGAGCACUAAUCUGCUGAUGUGUUCUGCUUGUUAUGAUCUGAUCUGACCAUUUAUACAAAUGGCUUUGCUUGAGCUAGAAAAAGACUUAAAUUGCAAUUGUCACCUAAUAGGAAUUCGUAAAGGACACCUUAAGCUUUCUAACGAUGCUUAGUUUGUCCAAUUUGCCCAUCAUUUGCCCUGCCUUUCUUUUUUUUUAAAUUGAGCUUUGAAAUCUGGAAUUUGUCUUGAACUGCAAAUGUUGUCUUUUCUGUGGCUAGUUGUUGUUAGUCUUAAGAUGAAAUAGUAGAUUUGUCCAAUUGCUUCCAAAUAUGUUGUAGAAUGACGGUGUGACAUGUUACUAUGCUCUAUUCUGGAUUGACUUGUUUUUUUUAGAUUUUUAGAAAUUCAUGUGUUGAUAUGAUGAUAGUGUCUAUGAAAUUUAUUUGGGAUAUCAUCUAGAAUUUGAUUCAGAGACCUUGUGACUUUAGUCACUCUUUUUGAAUAUAAAAAUGUCUUGCUUUUGAUUGUUUUGAUGCGUUUGCUCGUCUCUUUCCAUUGUAUGCAUUUAGCUAGAAGUUUCCUAAGCUAGGUUUAGAUUAGGACCCCGAAGAUGGAGAAGGCGUGAAGAUGGUGAAGGUCGAUGUCCACUCCGACUGUUAUCAUGUAAUGCUCAUUUUCCCGACAUAUGUCUCGGGUUUUAUGCAUUGUAUAAAGCCCGACGAGUUGCGGGUUUCCUUUCUUUCUCGAUUGUUUUCUCUUUUAUAUUCUUUAGAAUUGCAUGAUUAGGUUUACUGUUUUAUCUUGAUUGUUUACUUCAUGUCUUGCAAUUUAAUUUUCAUUUUCAUUGUUUGUUUUCUUUUCAGUUUUUAGAAAUAGAAUAGAAUGAAAGUAAUCCGUCAC